UUGACCUCGGAUCAGGUAGGAUCCCAAACUUUU
rnacentral:rRNA from 1 species